CUACUCCCACUACUCCCACUACAUCCACCUACACCCACUCUUUCCACCCACUUUACACUUCACUCUCGGCUCUCACUAAAUCUCUCUCUAUACUCUCUUUUCCUCCAUUGAUGUCCAUUGAAGAAAGCUUAGAGAAGCUUCAUCAAACACUACUAUGAGAUAAUCCACCAUCCAAUCCAAUCAAAUACUAUCAUAUCUCAUCAAAUUCAAGAAGCUAGAGCUAAGAUCAAAGUUGGAGCAAAGUCUUGAUCACCUUUUAAAUCCUUGAGCUUUGUGAUGACCAGGAGGAUUAGCGCUACUUUUCCAAGACAGGUUUAUAUGUGUAUGAUCUUCAGGCUUUGCCUAUCCAGGUUGGCUGGCUGGUGCUGACGGGACGGAGCUGAGGCUAGAGUUAAAAUUCAUAUGUUAGACUUCCGCUGUAGCAAUUACUCUUAUACAUCUUUUGUUUUCUCAACUUAAGAUGACUUCAUGUCGAGCUUAAAUUUGAAAUUCUAGUUUUAUGCUAAUGAAUGUUGGUUGUCAGAAACAUGAAACAAAACUUGUGAUCCAAAGGGGCAUAGCCCGACUUUCUAUCCUAUUUUGGGUUUUAACGAGGUA